rnacentral:rRNA from 1 species
UACAGAAAGUUAACGCGGGUCAAACCGUGAACUUUUAAACCUUUGACGAUUGACUCACGUUGCCUUGGCGGGUUCGCCCGCCAGAGGAUACAUCAAAACUCCUGUUUUAACGGUGUUGUCUGAGCUACAAGCAAUGAAUUAAAACUUUCAACAACGGAUCUCUUGGUUCUGGCAUCGAUGAAGAACGCAGCGAAAAUGCGAUAAGUAGUGUGAAUUGCAGAAUUCAGUGAAUCAUCGAAUCUUUGAACGCACAUUGCGCCCCUUGGUAUCCCGAGGGGCAUGCCUGUUCGAGCGUCAUUUCACUAUUCAAGCCUGGCUUGGUGUUGAGCGACGUCCCUUUAGGGACGCGCUUCGAAACGCUCGGCGGCGUGGCACCGGCUUUAAGCGUAGCANAAUCUUUCGCUUUGAAAGUCGGGGCCCCGUCUGCCGGAAGACCUACUUCAAGGUUGACCUCGGAUCAGGUAGGGAUACCCGCUGAACUUAAGCAUAUCAAUAAGCGGAGGAA